rnacentral:rRNA from 1 species
GACGAACGCUGGCGGCGUGCUUAACACAUGCAAGUCGUACGGUAAGGCCCUUUCGGGGGUCCACGAGUGGCGAACGGGGGAGUAACACGGGAGUAACCUGCCCACAACUUUGGGAUAACGCUAGGAAACUGGGGCUAAUACUGGAUAUGUGCUCCUGCUGCAUGGGGGGGGUUGGAAAGCUCCGGCGGUUGUGGGUGGACUCGCGGCCUAUCAGCCUGUUGGUGGGGUAGUGGCCUACCAAGGCGGCGACGGGUAGCCGGCCGGAGGGGGUGACCGGCCACACUGGGACUGAGAUACGGCCCAGACUCCUACGGGAGGCAGCAGUGGGGAAUCUUGCACAAUGGGCGCAAGCCUGAUGCAGCAACGCCGCGUGCGGGAUGACGGCCUUCGGGUUGUAAACCGCUUUCAGCAGGGACGAAGCUUUUUGUGACGGUACCUGCAGAAGAAGCACCGGCUAACUACGUG